rnacentral:rRNA from 1 species
AUACAGAGGGUGCAAGCGUUAAUCGGGAUUACUGGGCGUAAAGCGCGCGUAGGCGGUUUAAUCAGUCGGAUGUGAAAGCCCCGGGCUCAACCUGGGAACUGCAUUCGAUACUGUUAAGCUAGAGUAUGGUAGAGGGAAGUGGAAUUCCAGGUGUAGCGGUGAAAUGCGUAGAUAUCUGGAGGAACAUCAGUGGCGAAGGCGACUUCCUGGACCAAUACUGACGCUGAGGUGCGAAAGCGUGGGUAGCAAACGGGAUUAGAAACCCUAGUAGUCC